rnacentral:rRNA from 1 species
GAUGAGCGCUAGCUACAGGCUUAACACAUGCAAGUCGAGGGGUAGCAGGGUAGCAAUACCGCUGACGACCGGCGCACGGGUGAGUAACACGUAUCCAACCUUCCCAUAACUCAGGAAUAGCCUUUCGAAAGAAAGAUUAAUACCUGAUAGCACUUAAGAAAGGCAUCUUUUUUAAGUUAAAGAUUUAUCGGUUAUGGAUGGGGAUGCGUUCCAUUAGAUAGUUGGUGAGGUAACGGCUCACCAAGUCUUCGAUGGAUAGGGGUUCUGAGAGGAAGGUCCCCCACAUUGGUACUGAGACACGGACCAAACUCCUACGGGAGGCAGCAGUGAGGAAUAUUGGUCAAUGGGCGAGAGCCUGAACCAGCCAAGUAGCGUGAAGGAUGAAGGUCCUAUGGAUUGUAAACUUCUUUUAUAGUAGAAUAAAGUGAGCCACGUGUGGUUUUUUGUAUGUAUACUAUGAAUAAGGAUCGGCUAACUCCGUGCCAGCCGCCGCGGUAA